rnacentral:rRNA from 1 species
GACAGAGGGGGCGAGCGUUGUUCGGAAUUACUGGGUGUAAAGCGCGUGUAGGCGGCUAAGUGUGUCGAUUGUGAAAGCCCCCGGCUCAACCGGGGAAAGUCGAUUGAAACUGCUUGGCUAGAGUACGGGAGAGGGGGAUGGAAUUCCAGGGGUAGAGGUGAAAUUCGUAGAUAUCUGGAGGAACACCGAGAGCGAAGGCAGUCCCCUGGACCGUUUCUGACGCUGGGACGCGAAAGCGUGGGGAGCAAACAGG